CAGUCGCCGCGGGAAUACAGAGGGUGCGAGCGUUAAUCGGAUUUACUGGGCGUAAAGCGUGCGUAGGCGGCUUCUUAAGUCGGAUGUGAAAUCCCUGAGCUUAACUUAGGAAUUGCAUUCGAUACUGGGAAGCUAGAGUAUGGGAGAGGAUGGUAGAAUUCCAGGUGUAGCGGUGAAAUGCGUAGAGAUCUGGAGGAAUACCGAUGGCGAAGGCAGCCAUCUGGCCUAAUACUGACGCUGAGGUACGAAAGCAUGGGGAGCAAACAGGAUUAGAGACCCGAGUAGUCCCUGUCUCUUAUAC
rnacentral:rRNA from 1 species